UACGGGGGGGGGCAAGCGUUGUUCGGAAUUAUUGGGCGUAAAGAGCUCGUAGGCGGUUUGUCGCGUCUGCCGUGAAAGUCCGGGGCUCAACUCCGGAUCUGCGGUGGGUACGGGCAGACUAGAGUGAUGUAGGGGAGACUGGAAUUCCUGGUGUAGCGGUGAAAUGCGCAGAUAUCAGGAGGAACACCGAUGGCGAAGGCAGGUCUCUAGGCAUUAACUGACGCUGAGGAGCGAAAGCAUGGGGAGCGAACAGG
rnacentral:rRNA from 1 species